GUUGCCUGUUGGCAUGCUUCCCUUGUUUCAGAUGGGAAUCGACUCAAUCAGUAAGCCAUUUGUCUCGAUCUUUUGUCUCUAUGAUUUGUCCUCACGAAUUUACAUUAUUCUCCCAAUAGGUAAGACUAGAAAUAUUACUCCUUGCAUACUAUAGAACUAUCCUGACAUUUUUGAGUGUUCAAUAUUAUUUGUUUAAGGAGCAUAUUGCGAGAAAUCGUAUUCAUGAGGAAGGUGUGUUCAUUGAGUUUGUAGUUUUUAGAAAGCAUAUGUCUGGGAUGAAGGAAGAAAUUAGGAAGAGACUAACUAAUUCUAAGGAUGGUUGAAGGGCUUAAGCUGAGAUUUUCUACAUGAGUCCAGAGGAAUUCUAAAAGACCAAGAACAAGCUCUUCUCCAUUUGGAGAGCAUUCAACUUCAAGGAAAGGAUUUACUUAUUCUGCUGUAAAUAGUAAGAUGAGGUUUACCAUGUUUGAGUGUUCUAUUGUGAUGAUAAAAUUUCUAAACAUAUAUCGAACCAACAAGGCUGUGGUGGUGGGAAUAAUCGUUCUAAGAACGUUGGACAUCAAUCACGACAAGAUUUUGCGGAACCAUAUAUGGGGUUUUGCUUGCAAAUAGUUGAAAAACGAUCACGCACUAGCUUUUGGGGUACAGACUACAGUGUAAAUAAAUAAGCUAGUAUCAUGACUUCGGUAACAUAUGCAGCAUAGUAGAUGUGUAUCCUUAGGAGGGUGAAAAAUUAUUUUGAAUUCGUGUAAGUUGGAAAAGAUUCAAUAGCCUUAUAUGGCAAAAAGUUCUAUGACCAA